GAAACAGUUGCGGAGCACUGACUGCCGGCCCGGUCCGGCUCCGGAGGCUGGAGAUGUAAGAAGAAGCAGCAGAGCGGAUUUUCUGUCCCUCAGUUCCCAGGACAGUGUGGCACAGUGGCUGAUGCUGGUGCCGAAGUCAGAGGAUCAGAGCUUCAGGCUGGGACAUAUCUGGAUCCUGCUGCAGCAAAUAUUCACAGUAUUUCUACAGACAGCCAGGACAGAGCUUUGAACAGGCGGUAUGUAAUCUAGAAAAGCCAUAUUUCUGUUUGGUGCUUACUAGACCUAUUUGAUGGUGUUCUUGUGAUGACAAUAAUCGUGGUGAUGUGUUUUUAUUCCAGGUUCACCGAAUCCAGCAGUGUGCUGGUCCUGGCUUACCAACCAGCUGCUUGGAAAAGAGCAGAAGUCCUCAGUUACAGACAGAUCAUCAGACUAUAUCUGUCAAAGAUCUCAGUGAAUGUGGAAAGUGUCGUGAAAAUGAGAAGCCGUUCAAAACAAGCAGAACAGAAUAGGCUCCAGGGAGCCCACCUGGAAACCUGACACAUGUCCCCAUGAACUGAUGAUGCCUGUGUAUGAUGCCCACCCACCCUGUGAGGACAGAAAGGUCACUGGCUGCAAGGCAAGGAUGCAGGCAAGGGGGACACUGGAACUCAGUCAAGGAGGAAGAGUAAGCUUGCAGCCAACGGGGAGUCCUUCUGCCAAGAGGGCUGCUUACAUGGUGGUUGAACCCCAGCAGAGAGUCUGAGCUGGUUGCCAAAUGCCCAGGCAAUUAGGUUUGGGGUCAUUAGUAACCAGCCAAAGAAAAAGGCCCCUUCAUUUAAAAACUGUAAACUUCUGAAUAAACUCCAGUGCCACUCUGCUAAAGAAAAUGCUAACUCUAAUCAUCUGCCAAGUUCAGAGCGCCCAGAGUCAGAUCCCAAGAGGCAUGAGCACCAAUAGUGAGGGCCUUUCCUAUAAUGCCUUCUUCUCCUAGCACAGGCUUGGAAGCAAGGAUGCUGGGAGAAGGGAGGCAGAGUCAGGAGGGAGAGCAAAAGCAAGCCUCACAUCCCCUCCUGCCUAUUCCAGCACAUGAACCGUCCAGGUCUAAAGGGUUCAAGCUGGGGGAGAGGAAAAUUUGUGUUAAAGGGAAGUUGGAUAUGUUGAUGAUUUUUAUGCUGCUGGAUAUUUUAAUUGUUCAAAUAUAACUUCUUGGUACAGAGUAACUGGAAUCAUCAUGAAAAACAUGACAAACUUACAAUUAUGGUUUAAGAUCUCAUCCAAGCGACAAGAAGAAGCACAUUCUUAGAUUAGGUUUAAAGGCGAGAGAGAGGUUUAGAGAGAGAGAGAGAGGUUUAGAGAGAGAGAGAGAGAGCGAGAGAGAGAGAGAGCGAGAGAGGCUAUUGAGUUCACCCUGCUCAAUAUCAGCUGCCAUUUGCAAAGCGCUCAUGAGCUCACUGCUCUGUUAGGUGUCAGAAGUUGUUUCACAUUCACAGAAACCCUAGGAGAUGGGGAGCAUCAUUAUCUGCAUUUCACUGAUGAGGAAAUUGUAAGCCAGAGAGGGGAAAUAGUUGGCCAAAGUCACACAGCCAAUAUGUGGAGUAGCUGUUGUUUAUACCCAGGCAUGUAGCUCAGAAGAUCAUGCUCCUAAUCACACUGUGGUUCACUUCUCUGCAAACACAGUUACAAAAGAUGCAGAGAGACUUGUAGGAAAGGGGGUUUUGAGGAGGCACGUGGGACCAAGAGUCUGGAAGCAGAGCUGUGUGGGCAGAGGAUGCCAAGCAUCAGGCUUUGGAGCUCCAGGAGCUGAUGGGGGCUCCCUGGGCUGCUGUUGGGUUUCGCCCGAGGACUCUGGGAUGAGGGCUGCCAUAUCUGACCAGCAGAGAGAACACUCUCAGGGCUGGGCCCAGGUAGGGUCUUUCUUCUUGCAUCUUAUCUAAUCCCCCACCUUUUUGCUUCUGCUUUCACACCUGUUAUCUGGGAACCUCUCUUUCUUGCAUUACAAGGGCUAGUAUUAAAAAACAUUAUUGAUGGCUGCUAUCAAGAAAUCAACCAGUAACAAAUGCUGGUGGGGGUGUGGGGAGAAAGGAACCCUUCUCCAUUGUUGGUGGGAGUGCAGACUGGUGCAACCACUGUGGAAAUCAGUAUGGAGACACUUCAAAGAACUAGGACUAGAGGUCCCAUUUGACCCA
rnacentral:lncRNA from 1 species